GGCGAGGGCCCCGGAAACCCGCGGGUGCGCGUGGGAGGAAAGGAAGUGGCGGUUCUUAUCAGGGGUUGCCCCUUCUCGCUCUCGGAAACCGGGAUGAAGAUGCCCUCCUUGAGAGUAGCUCCAGAACACAGUACCCUCCAGAGAAUGGAUCACCAGGUGAAACUGAGAAGCCUGCCAGUUCUGCUUUGGGCUGAAAUUACUUGCAAAUGAGGAAAAGACACCAUAAUUUGUAGUAAAUAUUUAAUUGAUUCCAUCAGCAACUCCAGCGCAUUUUCCUGGUAAGGAGGCAGACUCAAGCUACCCAAGGGUUCAUGAGGUAUUGGGGUCACUGAGGAAGUCCCCAGAGUCACUGACCCUACUCCACAGGCUUCAGGCCCUGUAAAAUAAGAGUUGGGCUGACAGAAUGUCAAGUAAGGGGAAAAGAAUGCUGGAUGAGGGAAAUACAGGCCCUGUCCUGUAGUUUUGCCUGCAAGAAGGAGGGAGGGCAGGAUAAGGGCUGGAACUACAUAUUUAAGUUCUCAAUCCCAGAUAAGCUUCUCUAUCUAGUAUUAUGGACCUUCUUGCCAAUUGGUCACCUUUAUUCUGUCUUCCCAGUUCUGUUUUACAAAUUGUGCAAGUUCUCUUGAGUUCUAAGUUCUAGUUUCUGGGUUUCUGUUUCAUGUCUGUCUCUUGCUCCCAAAUUAAUCCUGCUCCAAUCCCUUUUCCCAGCCUCUCCGGAUAGAGUCUGGAUUUCAUUCUAACCUUUAAGAUUUGAGGGUUUAUGGCAAUACCAGGCUUUUCCCCAACAAGUGGGACUUGACUCAGUCUUUGCUUAUGCAGUAAGGAUGGCACAGUGGAGAUCAGGGAAUUCCUCAAAGCCUGGCCUGGUCUGACCUCCUCCCUUCACACUACCUUCUGUGCAACUAUGCUAACCCAAGGGUUUCCAUGCUGAUACCUGGGACUGGUGGCCUUGAUUAUGAGGAAUCUCGGGGAGAAAUGUGAGAAGUCCUAAAAGGUUGCUAUUCUUCAUUUAGGGAAAUUAGAAACUACCAGCAGAGGGGAAAGAGGUGAGUGGAAAGGCUUAGGGAAGGAUGGAUCUGGACAGAGCUUAAGU